rnacentral:lncRNA from 1 species
CCAUGGAUUAAAUGGCACCGAAGAGUGUUUGGAAAGACAGUUCUUCACUAAGUUCCCAGGGAGGGAAACCAGGAACUGACCACCAUUUGCUGAGUCAUUUUUAUUGGAUUCAGACCUUAAGAAAGACUCUGGAGGAUUUGGAAAUUCUAAGUAGACUUUGCCAUAGCAACUUCAAUGAACAAAUUCUUCUCUGACAGUGGUUCAUUUGCAUCUGAGGAUGGUUUGGGUCCAGAGCACGGAGGCAACUUUUCAGAGAUGCAGCAGGCAGAGGGCUGAACCAGUUUCUAAGAAAAGAUUCCUGAGCCUGGACCCGGUAGCAUUUGAAAUCCCUGGAGAUGUCCAGGUGGGCUUUUCUUCAAGUUGCAUCCAUUGUCUCAACUGAAGAUUUAAUCUGAGUUCCUCAUGAGUGUGCACAGAGGAAGGAGGAAACGUGGAAAUUCUCCUCUUUUGUUCUGUUCUUUUGCUGAAAAGAUUUCCGGACACAUCCUGAAUGACACCUGCCUGACC